CUUCCACCUCGGUCCCUGGAGACACUAGCACUUGAAGCACUGAGCCACCAUGGAAGAAGUCUGACUACCUUGAGGCCUAAUGUUGAGGAGGCCACACAUAGGUCCUCUGGUCAACAGUCCCAGCUGAAUCUGUCCUUCAGCAUUGCCACCCAGGCGCCAGACAUGCAAGUAAAUAAGCACCUUAGGAGUGUAUCUUCCAACUCCAGCUGUUCCAGUCCCAGCCAUUCAAGUCAUCCCAGCUCUAAAUAUCACAGGACAGAGAAAACCCAACCCUGCUAUCCUCUGUCUGAAUUCCUGACCCACAGAAUUUGGCAGAGGAAAAGGACAAAUGCCAGAGCGACAGAAUUUUCUACAGCCUUUCCGACUCUACUGUCUGCCACACAGCACUUCUGACCAGCCAAGUACAUGCAAGCAAGCCUUGAGAGACCUCAGAGCAAAGCGGUUCAGAUGUGUGUCUGACGGCCAGGAGAAAGAUGGCGGCCAGAGUUCUACAUUUGGAAGUUAACAGCAGACCGGUUGAUUUAAAAUCUGUGAGAACAGAAGAAAAUGCCCAAUGAUUGUGCGGAAGAGUGAAGAGGAAGAAGCUGGCGGAGGACUGACGCAGAGACAGUGCGUGGUGUGACGUGCAUCCUGCCUCAUCCAUGUUGGCUGCGGAGUGGGGGUUUCCUCCUCACCAAGAGGAAGGGGCUUCAAGGGAACUCCCAGCUAGUUUGACACCUCCUCAUGGCUGGCUAACUAAUUUGUGGGGCCCAGUGCAAAAUGCAAACGUGGGGCCCCUUGUUCAAAAAGCAAGGAAAAAAAAUGGCAUUAAAAGUACCAAAUUAUUAAAAAAAUAAAUAAAAGUGGGCUGUACACUUGCUCCCAGAAACAAAUCCUGUUGAAACAGAUUUUUGGGCAAAAAUCAAGGCCGGGAUUCUUUAGGAAUUAAGACACCAGGCACCAUGGUAGGCGUUUUACAUGUUAUCUUGUUGAACCUUCAUGACAAUCCUCUUGUUUUUACAGUUGUCCAGGGUCACGCAGGUAGUCAGUGGUAGAGACAGGAUGUGGGCCCAGGUUUUACAUGCUCCAAAGUCUGGAUUCUUCCCAUUGUACUUCAGCGUCUCCCAUGCAAGAUGGCAAAGGGGAGAAUGCUGGCACUUUCUGAGCAUGUACUUGUGGCAGCUCUGUGCUUGAUGGAGUUGGUCCAGCUCUUUGAAGAUGAGCUUCUGCUUCUGAAGGACCCUCUUCCAGGCCCUUCGCAUAUGCACAUGAUCUCCACUGUUCACUGCAGCCUCUGACCACCAGGCAGAGGAGCUGGAAUGCUGGUGGAGAAAGGAACAGAAAUGUGUCUCAUUCUCUCAUGCAGUAUUUGUACGGUAUUUAAUUGAGCCCUCCUCCUUUGCACCCCUGAAUUCCCAGGGCAAUUGUGCCUGUCUCUCUCUUUCUUUUAACCUCCUCUUUGUCCCGGGCCAGCAAAAUUUAAUGAAAAGACAACUGAGAGGUUAUGUACAUGAUGAAAGGAAAAUAAAUUAUCUCAGAGCAGC
rnacentral:lncRNA from 1 species